AGAAAUAUACAGAAAACAAUGGCUAAGCUACUACUGUUCCUUUAGAGAAAAAUCCCUGAAAUUCAAGCAACAUUUUACCCUAAUUAAAUUCAUAAACAGUUGAAGUUCAAAAUGAGUUAAAUCAAUAGCUCUUCAAAAAUUUUUGGGUUCUUUUCUUGAUGGAUUUUCAUGGUUGAACACAAUAGAGUGUUGGUGAUGGUUCGAAAGUGUC
rnacentral:lncRNA from 1 species